AUUGAACGCUGGCGGCAGGCCUAACACAUGCAAGUCGAACGGUAACAGGAAGAAGCUUGCUUCUUUGCUGACGAGUGGCGGACGGGUGAGUAAUGUCUGGGAAACUGCCUGAUGGAGGGGGAUAACUACUGGAAACGGUAGCUAAUACCGCAUAACGUCGCAAGACCAAAGAGGGGGACCUUCGGGCCUCUUGCCAUCGGAUGUGCCCAGAUGGGAUUAGCUAGUAGGUGGGGUAACGGCUCUCCUAGGCGACGAUCCCUAGCUGGUCUGAGAGGAUGACCAGCCACACUGGAACUGAGACACGGUCCAGACUCCUACGGGAGGCAGCAGUGGGGAAUAUUGCACAAUGGGCGCAAGCCUGAUGCAGCCAUGCCGCGUGUAUGAAGAAGGCCUUCGGGUUGUAAAGUACUUUCAGCGGGGAGGAAGGGAGUAAAGUUAAUACCUUUGCCCAUUGACGUUACCCGCAGAAGAAGCACCGGCUAACUCCGUG
rnacentral:rRNA from 1 species